rnacentral:rRNA from 1 species
AUUGAACGCUGGCGGCAUGCCUUACACAUGCAAGUCGAACGGCAGCACGGGUGCUUGCACCUGGUGGCGAGUGGCGAACGGGUGAGUAAUACAUCGGAACAUGUCCUGUAGUGGGGGAUAGCCCGGCGAAAGCCGGAUUAAUACCGCAUACGAUCCACGGAUGAAAGCGGGGGACCUUCUGGCCUCGCGCUUUAGGGUUGGCCGAUGGCUGAUUAGCUAGUUGGUGGGGUAAAGGCCUACCAAGGCGACGAUCAGUAGCUGGUCUGAGAGGACGACCAGCCACACUGGGACUGAGACACGGCCCAGACUCCUACGGGAGGCAGCAGUGGGGAAUGUUGGACAAUGGGCGAAAGCAUGAUCCAGCAAUGCCGCGUGUGUGAAGAAGGACUUCGGGUUGUAAAGCACUUUUGUCCGGAAAGAAAUACUUGACUCUAAUACAGUCGGGGGAUGACGGUACCGGAAGAAUAAGCACCGGCUAACUACGUG